AAGUUGUAUAGCUUUAAUGAAGGGGUUGGCUUAAGUUCGCGCAAAGAUCGGAAAGCAACAGUCUGCUUAAUAUUAUUUCAGGUGGACGUUUCCAUCUUGCAUCCAACCUAAGGGAAAUGUUUGGAAAUGGCUUGCCUAGAAGAAUGGGAAGAUCUUACAACCGAAAGGAGUUUUUAUGUUGUUUUAUAUAACUUAGAUAGUUAUUCUAAAUGAGUAUAUAUUUAUAAAUAUAUAUCCAUUUAUUUGAAUUGAGUGUCUUGCCUAUGUAAAAUUUACUGUUCUUCGAUCGAUAUAAGAUGACUAAUCGUAAUUGGAAUAUUUGGGUGACUUUUAAUUCCUAAAGAGAGAUAUUGAUUAUUAAGGAUUUUAUA